rnacentral:rRNA from 1 species
GACAGAGGGUGCAAGCGUUGUUCGGAAUUAUUGGGCGUAAAGGGCGCGUAGGUGGCGCUUCAAGUCUGAUGUGAAAUCCCAGGGCUCAACCCUGGACGUGCAUCGGGUACUGGAGUGCUUGAGUCCCGGAGAGGAUAGUGGAAUUCCCAGUGUAGAGGUGAAAUUCGUAGAUAUUGGGAGGAACACCAGUGGCGAAGGCGGCUAUCUGGACGAGGACUGACACUGAGGCGCGAAAGCGUGGGGAGCAAACAGG